rnacentral:rRNA from 1 species
UAACGUGGACCCGUAAUCCGGGUUGCGGACAGUGUCUGGUGGGUAGUUUGACUGGGGCGGUCUCCUCCUAAAGAGUAACGGAGGAGCACGAAGGUUGGCUAAUCCUGGUCGGACAUCAGGAGGUUAGUGCAAUGGCAUAAGCCAGCUUGACUGCGAGCGUGACGGCGCGAGCAGGUGCGAAAGCAGGUCAUAGUGAUCCGGUGGUUCUGAAUGGAAGGGCCAUCGCUCAACGGAUAAAAGGUACUCCGGGGAUAACAGGCUGAUACCGCCCAAGAGUUCAUAUCGACGGCGGUGUUUGGCACCUCGAUGUCGGCUCAUCACAUCCUGGGGCUGAAGUAGGUCCCAAGGGUAUGGCUGUUCGCCAUUUAAAGUGGUACGCGAGCUGGGUUUAGAACGUCGUGAGACAGUUCGGUCCCUAUCUGCCGUGGGCGCUGGAGAACUGAGGGGGGCUGCUCCUAGUACGAGAGGACCGGAGUGGACGCAUCACUGGUGUUCGGGUUGUCAUGCCAAUGGCACUGCCCGGUAGCUAAAUGCGGAAGAGAUAAGUGCUGAAAGCAUCUAAGCACGAAACUUGCCCCGAGAUGAGUUCUCCCUGAGACUUUAGGUCUCCUGAAGGAACGUUGAAGACGAC